rnacentral:rRNA from 1 species
CACGACCCCAGGUCAGUCGGGA